rnacentral:lncRNA from 10 species
AAAGCUGUGUGGUCCCCAGCCGAGGGCGCUGCUGUGGGGCACAGGGUCCCUCUAGAAUGAUGCCCCCCAACCCUGGGAGACCAGGGGAGAGGUCAUAUGGACCCUGCUCUCUGCCCAGACCCUAGUGGGUUUAGACCAGGAGUCAGAACAAGGACGGGCCUGUGAUGUGUCUGUCUAUGACGAGGAGGACAAUGUCCUAAGGAAUGGAGAGGAAGAAAGUGAAGGGAACCAGGUCCCUGGAUUCCAUGUGGAACAGUAGCCCAGGAUGUGCACUAUGGACUGUUACAAGAGAGAGACAUGAUCUUCCUUAAGGCAUUGAUUUGUCAUGAGUCUCUUUGUUAUAGCCACUUAACGUUACCUUAAUACACCCACUUCAUGGAUAAGUAAAACUGAGGCUUGGAGAAGCCCACAUUGACACAGCAAAGAAGGCUG